GGCCAUUUCCUCCUUCCAGGUUAGCUCAAGAGCUGCUCCUUCCCAUUGGAGAAAGUGAUGGUUUCAGGCCUGGCUUUCAGCAGCACGGAUAAGAGAAGAGAUAGAGAUGGGCUGCAGGAGCGGCGUGGUUUGGCAGAGAGAACGGGUUUGCAAGAGGGCUUUUCUCUCCAUCAUCAUGCAGAGAUCCCCGCGCUGUGCUAUGGGAUCUGCAACGCAUUACUGUAACCACUCCAAUGGCAUUUCCACCUUCAAGUGAUCACAAUAGCGCUCAUAAAGCGCGCCCCGGCGUGAAGUAUUUAUGAAUUAUUCUACUUAAGGUGGAAAAAAAAAGGGGGGGGGGGGGGGAAGAAAUAAUAAUAAGAAGAAAAGACCUGGGCUGAACUAAUAGCUCUGGAAGAGCAAUAAAUUCAGAGGAAUCAUAUUGCAGAGGGCUCUUUGGCGGGUGCAAUAAAUGGAACAUUUAUGGCUUUGGUGUAUACGUUCGCUCCGAAUGUUUUUGAAGCGGAGGACCUUUGAAAUAAGUUAUAACUUUGCUUUUUCUUUUAUUUUUUUUUCCCCCCUUUCAUUUUCGGGUCUCCAGCAGACGUUGGCGGAGGGAUUGCAAUCACGGAGGUGGGAGAGCAGAGCCACGUUUGGGCACGGCCGCGGGAUGCCGUGGUGCAGAUCCUGCAGCAUCCUGCCCCGCUCCUUCCCCAGCUGCUGGGAACGGCUGAUUCAAGCAGCAGGAAUGCAGACACCAUCCCCGCGAGGAUGGUUACCACUCACUGCGCUCACUGCAGCCACACCUGACGUCCCCAGAAAUGCUCCACCCCAUUUUGGAGCAAGAUACAUCCUUGGCUUCUCCACCACCUCCUUCCUGGAUUCAGAGCAGUGAUGGACCCGUGGGUGCUCACGGAGAGGUGCAGAACCCGGAGGAUGCUCAGCCCUCAUCGAGGCAAACUCCCACAGCCGUGCCUUGCUGUGCAGGGGAAAGCUCCCUUCUCACAGCCCCAUGAAUUGGAACAGCUCAGGAGGUGCCUGGGGUCUAAUCCAAAACAGUAGGAUGGUGUGAAAUAGGCUCCUGGAGGGCCCUCCCGCGGCGCUGGAUGCAGAUCUGAGGCGCUCAGUGCAGGGCAGGCUGCCAGCCCACGGCUCGGGGAUCCAGGGCUUGCCUGCAGGUCGGGGCUCACACAGAGAUGGAAUCCCUUCUGUUGUCACCACAUGGGACGCGGGGCACCUGGGUGAGGUUUUGGGAGGGCUGGUGCAGGAGAACAUAGUUUGCUCCCCGUGGUUAUCAUUGCAUCCCUCUGAUCCGCUUCCUCUGCAUCCCUGAGCGAGAAAGGUGCCAGAUCAGCUGAGGCCAUUCUGAGAGGAGUGUCACUGUAAAACCCAUCAGCUCACUGUCAGCACGGAAAUACCUUUCUCUAUCCCCUCCAGGCCGGAUUAACGGGUCUUUUCUAUCAGUCCUUGUAGGAAAAUGCUCUUUUCUCUGCCUUUGCUUCAGAGCUGUGCUCAGCCACGUUCCCUGUGAGCUCUGCGUGGGAAUGCUGGGAUCCUCAGAAGCACCACGAUGGAGAAGGAGCCACGAAAUGGCAGAGCUGCUCGUGGUGGUACACGAGGACACUGCUCCCUGAGGGCUGCAGAAAGCACUCCGACAGAGCAAUGAGGGUUAAACAAGGCAACAUCACCCCAGGGUGCUCCACGUGCCCCUGUCAUGGACUGAUUCCUGCCCGGUGUGCCCCACUGAUGGGUGGUUUUGAGCCUCGCUCAUGGGCUGAGCUCUGCCCCACCACCACUGCUCCUCCUGGGGGUCUCACGGGGGGCCCCAGCCAAAAUUCCCAACCUCAGUUUUGAGUGCUUUGAGGCAAGCAUUGCAUUCCAGGGGAGUGGGGAUGGGGCACCUCUCCGGGGUCGGUGGGUAUUGAUGAAAUCUCUUCCAACACCGCCGCCGUCCAUUCUCUUACUGAUGUGUUUAUCGUCGAUCUCAUGGAUCAAUGGGAUCCCAGAGGCCUUUCCACGUCAGGCUUAAGAGGACUUUGUGGUGUGUGGCCAUUGGCCGAUGGCUUUCGGUGGCAUCAGCCCAACGUGUGCGCCCUUAGCUGAACUGUGCCGUCGGUCGCUGCUGCUGGAUGAGGUUGAGCUUGGAGGACUUUUUAAACCUUAAAACAGACAUCUUCAGGUCUGGGCUAAAUUAUGCCUCCAGAGCUUGUCAUUAUAUCAUAAAAAGAGCAGGUUCAUUUGAAAUAUUUGAACAAUUGCCCAGAUGGAGUUCGCUAAAGAAGAAACCUCUGUGAGAGUUCGUGGAUGCGGAGAGAAAAGCAGGGCUGGAAUGCUUUGAUUUACGAGCCGGGCUGGGGAUGCCCAGGAAUGAGCACAGCCUUGGAUGGCCCAUCCAGGAGGAUUAGAAGAGCCGCUGAAAUGCUUUGUGGUCGGAGGAUUUUGCUGCGGGACCGAUGCCCCUUCCUUGGCCAUUUCUUGGAAAAAAAAACACCAAUGGGGGUCAUCGCCCAACUCUGCUUUCUUCUGACAAGGAAAGUGUGCAGCUGCAGAGCUGGGCUCCGCUGCCAGCGGGCCAACUUGGGAGUGCAGUUUGGCCUUUCCAAAGGAUGCUCUGCAGGGGUGCAUCCAGCAUCUGGUGAGACCCAAUCCUCCUCUUCUCCAGUCUGAG
ensembl:lncRNA